UAGUUUGGUGGUAUUGCCAAACCAAAUGAUGCCAAAUGCCACCUUUCAAAUAAUAUCGUGGACGGUGGUCGUUUGUAUGACAAGUCACUGGAGCUGGUAAGAUACACUGAUAUUGAUAUUAAUAGUUUAGUUUGAUAGUUUGAUAGUUUAUUUGACUCUAAACUUACAGCUCCAGAAUAUAUCUAAUUCCACUGCUGAAAUAUGUUAGGUUUACAAA